rnacentral:rRNA from 1 species
AACGAACGCUGGCGGCAGGCUUAACACAUGCAAGUCGAACGCCCCGCAAGGGGAGUGGCAGACGGGUGAGUAACGCGUGGGAAUCUACCGUACCCUACGGAACAACAGUUGGAAACGACUGCUAAUACCGUAUACGCCCUACGGGGGAAAGAUUUAUCGGGGUAUGAUGAGCCCGCGUUGGAUUAGCUAGUUGGUGGGGUAAAGGCCUACCAAGGCGACGAUCCAUAGCUGGUCGGAGAGGAUGAUCAGCCACAUUGGGACUGAGACACGGCCCGAACUCCUACGGGAGGCAGCAGUGGGGAAUAUUGGACAAUGGGCGCAAGCUUGAUCCAGCCAUGCCGCGUGAGUGAUGAAGGUCUUAGGAUUGUAAAGCUCUUUCACCGAUGAAGAUAAUGACGGUAGUCGGAGAAGAAGCCCCGGCUAACUUCGUGCCAGCAGCCGCAGUAA